rnacentral:rRNA from 1 species
UAAGGAAUAUUGGUCAAUGGAGGGAACUCUGAACCAGCCAUGCCGCGUGAAGGAUGACGGCCCUCUGGGUUGUAAACUUCUUUUGGAUGGGGCGAAAAAACGGGAUUUAUCCUGGACUGACGGUACCAUCAGAAUAAGCAUCGGCUAACUCCGUGCCAGCAGCCGCGGUAAUACGGAGGGUGCAAGCGUUAUCCGGAAUCACUGGGUUUAAAGGGUGCGUAGGCGGUUGUAUAAGUCAGGGGUGAAAGCACGCAGCUUAACUGUGUAAUUGCCUUUGAUACUGUACGGCUUGAAUAGGGUUGAGGUUGGCGGAAUGUGACAUGUAGCGGUGAAAUGCAUAGAUAUGUCAUAGAACACCGAUUGCGAAGGCAGCUGACUGGGCCUAUAUUGACGCUGAGGCAC